rnacentral:rRNA from 1 species
UACGGAGGGGGCUAGCGUUGUUCGGAAUUACUGGGCGUAAAGGGCGCGUAGGCGGUGUGUCAAGUCAGGCGUGAAAGCCCCGGGCUCAACCUGGGAACGGCGCUUGAGACUGGCACGCUCGAGUUCGGGAGAGGAUGGUGGAAUUCCCAGUGUAGAGGUGAAAUUCGUAGAUAUUGGGAAGAACACCGAUGGCGAAGGCAGCCAUCUGGACCGACACUGACGCUGAGGCGCGAAAGCGUGGGGAGCAAACAGG